AGUGAACGCUGGCGGUAGGCCUAACACAUGCAAGUCGAACGGCAGCACAGUAAGAGCUUGCUCUUACGGGUGGCGAGUGGCGGACGGGUGAGGAAUACAUCGGAAUCUACUUUUUCGUGGGGGAUAACGUAGGGAAACUUACGCUAAUACCGCAUACGACCUACGGGUGAAAGCAGGGGAUCUUCGGACCUUGCGCGAUUGAAUGAGCCGAUGUCGGAUUAGCUAGUUGGCGGGGUAAAGGCCCACCAAGGCGACGAUCCGUAGCUGGUCUGAGAGGAUGAUCAGCCACACUGGAACUGAGAAACGGUCCAGACUCCUACGGGAGGCAGCAGUGGGGAAUAUUGGACAAUGGGCGAAAGCCUGAUCCAGCCAUACCGCGGGGGUGAAGAAGGCCUUCGGGUUGUAAAGCCCUUUUGUUGGGAAAGAAAAGCAGCAGGUUAAUACCCCGCUGUUCUGACGGUAACCAAAGAAUAAGCACCGGCUAACUUCGUG
rnacentral:rRNA from 1 species